rnacentral:rRNA from 1 species
UACGUAGGGUGCAAGCGUUAAUCGGAAUUACUGGGCGUAAAGCGUACGCAGGCGGCUUUGCAAGACAGGUGUGAAAUCCCCGGGCCUAACCUGGGAACUGCAUUUGUGACUGCAUAGCUAGAGUUUGUCAGAGGGGGGUGGAAUUCCACGUGUAGCAGUGAAAUGCGUAGAUAUGUGGAGGAACACCGAUGGCGAAGGCAGCCCCCUGGGAUGUGACUGACGCUCAUGUACGAGAGCGUGGGGAGCAAACAGG